GUUAGGGUUAGGGUUAGGGGUUAGGGUUAGGGUUAGGGGUUAGGGUUAGGGUUAGGUGUGGGUAAGAGAUACAGUGAUAGCCCCCGCUUUCGUCUGUUGACUUGGCGGUUUGGGGUAGGCUAAUCAAGGGCUUGCACUGGCCGUCGCAUGUCGACCUGUCACAUGUUCCCAGUCGAGUCUCCGAGCUCAAUCUGUGUGUAAAAAACUAUGUGUGGGUAGGAAGUUUAAUUACUCAGCUCAGUUGGUAUGCUAUGCUGUCUAUCUUUUAGACUAUGUGUUUGUAGAGCAAUUAUUUCUUGAGGUUCAGUUAGGAAUUAGAGUUGGUAUGGUUACCGGUUAAAACAAUAAUAAUAAUAAUAAUAAUAAUAAUAAUAGUAAUAACCAUAAUAAUAAUAAUAAUAAUAAUAGUAAUAAUUUUGUUUAUUGAGAAGGACUAGGUGAUAUUAGUAGGGAGGGAAAAGGGUGAAAUUUAUCUAAGGGAGUAGGGUUAGGGUGUGUUAGUACAAAGUCUCAGAGGAUGGGGAGAGGGAAACAGGUGGUCUGGAUUAAAACCAUUCUGUUUCUACAGGGAUUCGAGUGAUAGAGAGAGAAUAGAACUUGCCACAGUGACUAGCCAGAGAAACUCUCCUCACCUGUUGCUUUUCAACCUCUGAUACGAAAAAAGAGGGAGGGGUAAUUAAGUAAAGAUAGAGGUUAGUAAGGUUAGGGUUAGGGGUUAGGGUUAGAUUUAGGGUUUAGGGGUUAGGGUUAGGGUUAGGGUUAGGGGUUAGGGUUAGAUUUAGGGUAUAGAGGUUAGGGUUAGGGUUAGGGUUAGGGUUAGGGUUAGAUUAGGGUUAGGGUUAGGGUUAGGGUUAGGGGUUAGGGUUAGGGUUAGGGUAUAGAGGUUAGGGUUAGGGUUAGAUUUAGGGUAUAGAGGUUAGGGUUAGGGUUAGGGUUAGGGGUUAGGGUUAGAUUUAGGGUAUAGAGGUUAGGGUUAGGGUUAGGGUUAGGGUUAGAUUAGGGUUAGGGUUAGGGUUAGGAUUAUGGGUUAGGGUUAGGGUUAGGGUUAGGGUUAGGGUUAGGGUUAGGGUUAGGGUUAGGGGGUUAGGGUUAGGGUUAGGGUUAGGGUUAGGGUUAGGGUUAGGGUUAGGGUUAGGGUUUAGGGUUAGGGUUAGGGUUAGGGUUAGGGUUAGGGUUAGGGUUAGGGGUUAGGGUUAGGGUUAGGGUUAGGGUUAGGGUUAGGGUUAGGGGUUAGGGUUAAGGGUUAGGGUUAGGGUUAGGGUUAGGGUUAGGGUUAGGGUUAGGGUUAGGAUAUAGGGAUAUGUGCCACUUUUGACAUGCCGGUUCAUUGCCUUUCCCAUGGAUGAACCGGGCUGAGAUUUGGUCUACCCCCCCAUUUUCGGGUAUGCUGAAUCUAGAAAUAGUAAUGAACCAGCGAUCGGACAUUCCUAUCAAAAGUUAUGGCGAAGUGAAAAUUUCCCAUUGAAAAUGAAUGGGAGCGGAAAAUGGCCAAAGUCAGUGUUUGCAAGUGUUGUACUUGUCUGGAACUGUUGAAAAUGCAUUGUGAGCAGGUUUCAGGCCAUUUCCUGUCAUUUGAGGGCGACUUUGCAAAAAGGGGUGUCAUACCGCUUUUGACCAGAGGUGGCGCUGCACAUGUCCGACGGUUAGGGUUAGGGUGAGACUUUGGGCAAGGGGUUAGGGUUAGGGUUGGAGCUAGGGUUAGGGUUAGGGUUGGAGCUAGGGUUAGGGUUAGGGUUGGAGCUAGGGUUAGGGUUAGGGUUGGAGCUAGGGUUAGGGUUAGGGUUAGGAAAAUGUGAAGAUUUUCCCAAAAUCUGAAGAUUUUCCUUAGGGUUAGGGUUAGGGUUAGGGUUAGGGUUAGGGUUAGGGUUAGGGUUAGGGUUAGGGUUAGGGUUAGGGGUUAGGGUUAGGGUUAGGAUUACGGGAAAAGGGGGACUGUCUCCUAGGAUAGGAGACAGGAGGUGCACGGUCCAUCCCCCUGUUCCCCGUCCCCCACGACCCCGUUUGGUACUGCUGAUUAUUAGUGCGGUACGGGCGUCGACCACGCCUCCCGUACCGCACUUCAGUCCAUUGUUCAUGCUCGUAAGUCAUGAUUGUUUUUUAAUCUUUUUAAUUAUUUAUUACUAUUUAUUAAUGUGGUGUAAUUACUAAACUAUUUAUUUAUUGGUGUAUCUAUCUAUCUAAUUUAUUUAUUUAUUGAAAUGAAGGUAUUUAAAACUAAAACAGUAUAACAAAAUAAAUGAAUUGUUCUUAUUUUUUUCUGCUUUUUUGUUUUUUGUGAAAUAAAAAUGAAAUAAAAUGAAAUAAAAGUGAAAAAACUAAAUAAAAUGUCUAUCAAAAUGAAGAAUAGAGAAAUAAGAGGUGAAAAAAGUGCCCAGUCGCGACGUUUCGACCCGCUUGGGUCUUCUUCAGGCUAUGGGCACAAAAGGGAAUAUGUCCGGACUUGUCUGAGUCUGUUUGUGAGGUGUUUGCUCUUCAGGAGACAUUUGAGGAAUGAGAGGCUGAGCUGUUUGUGCGUGUCUUAUUUAUAGGGGCGUGGGAGAGGGCAGAGCCAGACGGGGGCCCCCGGCCGUCUGGGUGCAGUUAACCCCAUAAAUGCCAACUAAAAUUAAAUGACCUGAAUGUUAAUGCCAAAGUAGAACUUUUUACCCUCUUUUGAAGUGAUUAAAUUUAAUGGAUUGUAAUUGUAAUGCCCAAUUUAGAAAUUUCUACCCUGUUUUUAGCUGAUUAAUUGUAAUUUUAAGGCCCAAUUUAGAAUGUUUCCCCCUUCUUUUUAACAGAUUAAUUGAAAUGAAUUGUAAUUUAAUGCCCCUUUGAAACUUUAGUCUUUUAAAUCCAUAUUUGCCAAUUAGUAUUUUAAUGAAGUUGAAUUUUAAAGAUAGUUGUAGUGUUUUUAGGCCGUAAUCCUUUUUAAAUGUUAGAUAUGAUAUGCAUUUUUAAUAUUUAUGGUUUAAAUGUCAAAUGAUUACUAUUUUUAACGUAUUAUGAAGUUUAACAAUUAAUAAUGAAUAAAAAAUAAUUAAUAUCAAUAAAUUAUUAGUUUUUUUAAAAGUUAGGGUUAGGGGUCAGGGCUAGGGUUAGAGAGGUUAGGGUUAGGGUUAGGGCUAGGGUUAGGUUUAGGGCUAGAUCUAGGGGUUAGGGUUAGGGCCAGGGUUAGGGUUAGGUUUGAUCCCGAGGGUUAGGGUUAGGGUUAGGGAUAGGGUUAGGGUUAGGGUUAGGGUUAGGGUUAGGGUUAGGGGUUAGGGUUAGGGUUAGGGUUAGGGUUAGGGUUAGGGUUAGGGUUAGGGUUAGGGGUUAGGGUUAGGGUUAGGGUUAGGGUUAGGGUUAGGGUUAGGGUUUAGGGUUAGGGUUAGGGUUAGGGUUAGGGUUAGGGGUAGGGGUUAGGGUUAGGGUUAGGGUUAGGGUUAGGGUUAGGGGUUAGGGUUAGGGUUAGGGUUAGGGUUAGGGGUUAGGGGUUAGGGUUAGGGUUAGGGUUAGGGUUAGGGGUUAGGGUUAGGGUUAGGGUUAGGGUUAGGGUUAGGGGUUAGGGUUAGGGUUAGGGUUUAGGGUUUAGGGUUAGGGUUAGGGUUAGGGGUUAGGGUUAGGGUUAGGAUAUAGGGAUAUGUGCCACUUUUGACAUGCCGGUUCAUUGCCUUUCCCAUGGAUGAACCGGGCUGAGAUUUGGUCUACCCCCCCAUUUUCGGGUAUGCUGAAUCUAGAAAUAGUAAUGAACCAGCGAUCGGACAUUCCUAUCAAAAGUUAUGGCGAAGUGAAAAUUUCCCAUUGAAAAUGAAUGGGAGCGGAAAAUGGCCAAAUCGGGGUGUUUGCAAGUGUUGUACUUGUGUGGAACUGUUGAAAAUGCAUUGUGAGCAGGUUUCAGG